rnacentral:rRNA from 1 species
CCUACGGGAGGCAGCAGUGGGGGAUAUUGCACAAUGGGGGAAACCCUGAUGCAGCAACGCCGCGUGAGUGAAGAAGUAUUUCGGUACGUAAAGCUCUAUCAGCAGGGAAGAAAAUGACGGUACCUGACUAAGAAGCCCCGGCUAACUACGUGCCAGCAGCCGCGGUAAUACGUAGGGGGCAAGCGUUAUCCGGAUUUACUGGGUGUAAAGGGAGCGUAGACGGCAGCGCAAGUCUGGAGUGAAAUCCCAUGGCUUAACCAUGGAACUGCUUUGGAAACUGUGCAGCUAGAGUGCAGGAGAGGUAAGCGGAAUUCCUAGUGUAGCGGUGAAAUGCGUAGAUAUUAGGAGGAACACCAGUGGCGAAGGCGGCUUACUGGACUGUAACUGACGUUGAGGCUCGAAAGCGUGGGGAGCAAACAGGAUUAGAUACCCGGGUAGUC